CGCUCCUUGAUUUUAAUUAAUAAGGAGUCGGGCCUGCCCAGUGAUAAGUAUUUAACGGCCGCGGUACUCUGACCGUGCAAAGGUAGCAUAAUCAUUUGCCCUAUAAUUGAGGGCUAGUAUGAAUGGUUUGACAAGAACAGUACUGUCUCUUUCAAAANUUUCUAGAAUUUAUUCUUUAGGUGAAGAAACCUAAAUAAAAUUAAAAGACAAGAAGACCCUAUCGAGCUUAAACUCUUUUUAUAAAAUAAAAAAAAUUAAUAAUAUUUUUUGUUAUAAAAAAUUUUGGUUGGGGCGACUAAGGAACAAAAAAAGCUUCUUUAUUUAAUAAAGACAAAUGCGUAUUGAUCCAUAAAANUCUUGAUUAAAAGAAUUAGUUACCGUAGGGAUAACAGCAUAAUCUUUUUUAAGAGUUCUUAUCGAAAAAAAGGUUUGUGACCUCGAUGUUGGACUAAAAUUUCCUAAUAGAUGCAGACGUCUUUAAGGG
rnacentral:rRNA from 1 species